rnacentral:rRNA from 1 species
UGGGGAAUUUUGGACAAUGGGCGAAAGCCUGAUCCAGCAAUGCCGCGUGUGCGAAGAAGGCCUUCGGGUUGUAAAGCACUUUUGUCCGGAAAGAAAUCCGCCUGGCAAAUACCCGGGCGGGAUGACGGUACCGGAAGAAUAAGCACCGGCUAACUACGUGCCAGCAGCCGCGGUAAUACGUAUGCAGCAAGCGUUGUUCGGAGUUACUGGGCGUAAAGAGUGCGUAGGCGGUUUUCUAAGUUCGGUGUGAAAUCUCCCGGCUUAACUGGGAGGGUGCGCCGAAGACUGGGAAGCUGGAGUGUGGGAAAGGCAGGCGGAAUUCCUGGUGUAGCGGUGAAAUGCGUAGAUAUCAGGAGGAACACCGGCGGUGUAGACGGCUUGCUAGACCAUAACUGACGCUGAGGCACGAAAGCGUGGGUAGCAAACA